rnacentral:rRNA from 1 species
UACGGGGGGGGCAAGCGUUGUUCGGAAUUACUGGGCGUAAAGGGCUCGUAGGCGGCCACCUAAGUCAGACGUGAAAUCCCUCGGCUUAACCGGGGAACUGCGUCUGAUACUGGAUGGCUUGAAUCCGGGAGAGGGAUGCGGAAUUCCAGGUGUAGCGGUGAAAUGCGUAGAUAUCUGGAGGAACACCGGUGGCGAAGGCGGCAUCCUGGACCGGCAUUGACGCUGAGGAGCGAAAGCCAGGGGAGCAAACGGG